rnacentral:lncRNA from 1 species
UGUCAACCCAUGCAUUUUGCUUUAUUCAUUUGCUGUAUCGUAUGGAUCGCUCCAUUUUGUAGAGUAUUCCAUUGUAUGGAUGUACAGUAGUUUAGAUGAACAUUUUUAUAUUGAUGGCCUUUUUUUUUUUUUUUUGGAGAUGGGUCUCACUCUGUCACUCAGGCUGGAGUGCAGUGGCACGAUCACAGCUCACUGCAGCCUCAAGCUCCUGGGCUCAUGCCAUCAUUCUCCUGCCUCAGCCCCCUGAGUAGCUGGGACAACAGGUGCAUGCCACCAUGCCUUGCUGAGUUUUUGUAUAGAUGGGGUUUCACCAUGUUGCCCAGGCUGGUCUUGAACUCUGGACUGGUCUGGACUCAUGAGAUUCAGACCCGAUCUGUGAGCCACUGCCUCCAGCCUUGAUAGCCAUUUGUUUUCAUAUGCAGAGCAGCAAUUAGUAGCCAUUUAAGAUAUCUGUGCACCAGCCUGCAAGAAAUACAAAUGUACAGGGUAAAAUCCUAGCUGGAUCAAAUACGAGCUUUGUAAAUUUUUUAAAACUUUUUUAUUGAGUUGUGGUAGUUUAUGCCUGUAAUCUAAUCCUAGCAUUUUGAAAGGCUGAGGCAGGAGGAUCCCUUGAGGCCAGGAGUUUGGGGCCAGCCUGAGCAACACAGUGGGACCCUGUCUACACACAAACCCCAACUGCACACACCCCAACUCACCACAAACGAAAAAACUCCUAGAAAUCACCUUGGCUCAGGCAGCUUAAGAUUCCUGUGACCCCAUUUUCUGGAUCAUCACAACCAUCUCACAGGAUGCAAUGAAAAGAGCUGUUAAGUACUUUGUAGACUUGGCUACAAAUCUGCAGAUUUGGCUGCAAAAUGUUACUACCCUGACAAGCCAUGAAGGCAGCCGGCAAUGACUCAAUAUACUCUGCCACCAUCAUAACUGUCUUAUUGAAGUUAAGGAAAUUGCUAUUUCUAAACUUUAUAUGGUAAAUGAAAAUUACCGAAAAAGGCAAAUAAGAUAAAUGUAUUCCAAAAAUUAACAUUCAGUCACUCCUAGGUAUUGUUACUUCUUAGAGCAUUAAGAUACAUUGUUAUAUUGUUGAUUUAGCCAAUCAAGAUCCCUAUAGUCAAUCAAAAUACGUAAAUAAUUUUUUGUUUUUCCCAAAAAUCAUUUUUUGUUAUAGGAUGUUGGCAAACACUGUAAUUUUUUUUGUUUUCUUUGAGACAGAGUUUCAUUCUUGUUGCCCAGGCUGGAGUGCAAUGGCGCGAUCUCGG